UACGUAGGGGGCAAGCGUUAUUCGGAAUUAUUGGGCGUAAAGGGCGCGUAGGCGGCUAGAUGUGUCAAAGGUGAAAUCCCUCGGCUUAACCGAGGAACUGCCUCCCAAACUGCUUGGCUUGAGACCAGGAGAGGUGAGUGGAAUUCCCAGUGUAGCGGUGAAAUGCGUAGAUAUUGGGAGGAACACCAGUGGCGAAGGCGGCUCACUGGACUGGUACUGACGCUGAGGCGCGAAAGCGUGGGGAGCAAACGGG
rnacentral:rRNA from 1 species